GGGGGUAUAGCUCAGCUGGGAGAGCGCUUGCAUGGCAUGCAAGAGGUCAUCGGUUCGAUCCCGUUUUCCUCCACCA
rnacentral:tRNA from 1 species